rnacentral:rRNA from 1 species
UACGUAGGGCGCAAGCGUUUGUCCGGAAUUAUUGGGCGUAAAGAGCUCGUAGGCGGCUUGUCACGUCGGGUGUGAAAGCCCGGGGCUUAACCCCGGGUCUGCAUUCGAUACGGGCUAGCUAGAGUGUGGUAGGGGAGAUCGGAAUUCCUGGUGUAGCGGUGAAAUGCGCAGAUAUCAGGAGGAACACCGGUGGCGAAGGCGGAUCUCUGGGCCAUUACUGACGCUGAGGAGCGAAAGCGUGGGGGAGCGAAACAGG